rnacentral:lncRNA from 1 species
AUGCUGCAUACACUGUCCUCUACCUCCCCGGUCCUUGGGAGCCUCUGCAGUUCUCAGACUCACUGUCUCAGCGGAGAAGAACACCUCUGGGAUGAUCAGCCGCGUUUCUCCAGGGAGGAUGGAGUGGAUCAUCCCUCUGAUUGUGGUCUCAGCCUUGACCUUCGUGUGCCUCAUCCUUCUCAUUGCCGUGCUGGUGUACUGGAGGUGAGUCCUCGGGCCCCCCUGGCUAGUGGGCGCAGGACAGACGAUUCCGAGCUGCCGCUCUUUGGGGAGGAGGAGCCGGUAGCCUCUGGUCCAGGGAAGUGGUCAACCAGAGCGGGUCCAGUGUGGUCACCAAGGAGACCCUCUUGUUUCUGGACGGUGACACAGGCCAGCACCACUUUAGAGGGUGAGAAAUUUACAGUAAGCUCCUAAAUUUAAUGUCCAAGAAGCUUUCCUCACUUACAGGGAGAGGCAAGUUCAAAUCCUAGUUGUGCUGUUUUCUGGGUGCAUGUCCUAUUUCCCGUGAACUUUGGUAUCUGAACCUGCUAC